CCCCACCAGAGGAAAACCCGCUCCUCUCGAUUCCUAUCCCCACGACGUACGACAUCCUUUGCCGCCGCCCCAUCUCCGAUCUCCCUUCACCGCCGCCCCAUCUCCGAUCUCCCUUCGCCGCCGCCCUCGCACUCGCAUCAAGUCGCCGCCGAUCCCUGCGCUACCUCGACGGGAGCCAUCACAAAUCCAUCCCUUCGCCGCCGCCCUGCGCCACCACUCCUAUGACGCCGCCUCCCGCCAGUCUCCACCAGCACCGCGACGUGCGUGGCCUCCACACGCGCCGUCACCGCCCCUCGAGAUCCGGCCGCCGUCAAGGGCGUAUCCAUCCAGCAGUGCGCCGUCACCUCCCCUCCAGAUCCGGCCGUCGUCAAGGCCGUAUCCAUCCAGCAGCACGCUGGCAUCCCAAUCAUCACCUUCCGCGGCGUCAUCGCCCAGGCCCAGUCUGGGGCCGGCAAGACGUCCAUGAUCUCCCUCUUCGUCUGCCAGGUUAUCGAGACCAACGUCCACAAUUGAUUAUGUAGGGUGCAUGCAUUAGCGACGAUAUGGACAGGUGCUUCACUGACAGGAAGAACUUGCUCAUGGACCGCAGGACCAUGGCUCCCAAGAUCGAUGACCUCAAGUCUCAGCCGUGCCUUUAGGGUUCCUCUCAACAAUUACACACAAGAUUCUUACUCGAGGUACCGACCCUGAGGUCCUUCUUGGUGCCACAUGUGGUUGGUGGGCUGCAUUUUUUAAGUUGGUAUGAUGAACUGGACUUUGUAAAUGAGCACAUAUAUACACUGAAUCCUGGUAAAUGGCAGCUGAAUUUCAAGUACAGGGGACUCUUCUGCCCGAUCACAGUUUUCACACAUUAAUAACUGUAUGGCUCCAUCAGCGUGAAUUCAUUUUUCGGGGUGAAAUUUAAGUGCACAUAGCUGCAAAGAUGUGAAGAUCCAUAUCGGUCUUGUUUGAUAUUCUUUGAGUUGGUUUAGAUAGAGAGAAGUGACCUCUUUCAUGUCAAGUGCAUGUGCCAUUUACUACAGCCAAAGUGUAGACUGAUGUACGCUCAUAAUUUGUUCUUUUGCUUUUUCUUGGCUGCAUGCUUGCAUCCAAUUCAGAUUUUCCAUGUGCACUUCAGAACUAAUCAUGCUUGUACAGAUGAGAAAUUGAGCAAGUUUUUUAGUCUUUGAUAGAAACUGAACAAGUUUCUCAUGAGUUUUUUUAUAUACUUCAAGCCUACUGCUCAUCCAGCUCUAUGUGCAGUUUGGAGAUAUGCUUUAUUGAUCAUGCAACCUCCUUCUUUUCUCAUCCCUUUUAUAUUUUUAUUUCAAAUACUCUGUGUUAGCAAAAUCCUGUUGCAUGACUAGACCAACUAUCUGGUGAUUCAGGCACUACAUUAGUGAUUGGGGCAAUGGUCAGACCUGCUUGCAUGAAAAAAAGGGCAAUUUGGAUGUGCUUGCAGGAGCUCAGAACUCACCUAUUGAUGACUCACCUUGGAAACUGGUUUUUUAAAGGUCUUGGAGAUCACCUUUGGUAACAAACACUCAGGACUGCUCUAACUUAUUAUAUGAAAUAAUGUUCGGCCAUAGUAUAUUUUUUCUACACUUGAUGUUAGGCUGACAAGGCGACAGAUGCGGGGCCUUCUUCAAUUUCAAGUCACACAUGCCAUCGUCGUCCAGGUCAGUGGUGCCCCGUGCCCAUCGACGACAUCAUGCAGCUGUUCGCCAACGCCUGGAUGAAUCACUUCAAGACAUUAUUCCUUGACCAUAAUGUAGUGCCGCCCUGGACUAGUAGCUUGUCGCCUACACCUCAAUACAAUACCCAGAAGUGCAUCCGCGCCGGUAGCAAGCACAACGACCUCGACGCCAUGGGAAACGGUACUCCUUGAUGGGAACUAGACCUUCAGGUAUGAUGGGAGCUUCGAAGAGGAAGCCAGCGGAUAUUCAUGGGAGCUCCUCGUCAAAGUGAGGGAUUUAGUAUAGAAAGCUACUUUACAAGUAGUCUCAAGCUGGAGGAUAACAGAUUGGUCGCGACGUUAGGGAUCUCCAUCAAUGUUAUACUAUUUGUCUCCAGGUAUAUGAUCACUCCAAAUUCUAGAUAUUCUAGCGAGUAGAUGAGGUGAAAGUAUGUGCAACAUAGUUCUUUUUUUUUGUUUUGCUCUAAUUUCUGCGGGAGUGUUGUUAAAUCCCAUGUAGCACGAUGGUGGUUGUAUGCUGCCGUGGAGGAAUUAAAGGCACAUGUUGAUUAAAAGAAUGGCCACUAAUAUUGUCGAGUAAUUACUUGAUCUGCUCAUGAUUAAUUAGUACCCCAAUUUGUUUUCUCAAAAAGGUACAAUAUUGUUAUGGUAAAAGUUACACUUUGUGGCCUCAAAUAGCAUUCAGAUUUAUAGAUUGAUUUCUCUUAGAAAAAAUAUAGAUUUAUUCCUGAUUCUGUGAGCUCACUAAUUAUGAAGCUAACACAAGUCUAAUUACCUAAUACUUACCCCCACCUCAUCGUUGACAUCGUGCAGUACCAUGGCAGAGGUUUCUUUUGUGCAUGGAUUUCCAAGCGCUCCGGCCGUCAUUGGCGGAAGCGUGGGUUUUAAUUGGCCAACAUUCAUCUUUUAGGCGAUGUGUUUAUGUAGAGAAUUUUACUUAACAGGUCUGGAUGGCAUCUUUUGUCAAAACAAAAUCACGUUUGUUUUUAUAUAUUUUCUGCCUGACGCGUAAAGUGUUCCAUUAUUGUUUUCUUUUGGGGAAAUAAUUAUGCUUUAGGAUGAACUGGUUUAGUUCCUUUUUAUGUUGCUAAAACCCUAUAGCUUGCUUUUAUGUAGAAGUCCCUGGAUGAACUUACUACAAUCUUUAUUGUCAGGACACAUUGGUACUGAGCUUUCUUGCAAAGGUGCUAUGUUCUAACUGUGGUGUAUAUAGUUGUAUAGUUUAUAGUGAAAGUUGCGUUCUUGUCAGGCCACAGUAGUUGUAUAGUUUAGAUUAUACCUUGAGUUAGUUUUGUGCUUGUGGAAGUGCAGCGGCGAUUGCAAGACAGCUUGGUUCAGCUUCAUUAAUAUAGCACCAUCUUCACAAUACUGUACAUCAUAUUCUUAGACGGCUGGGUUCAACCUUGAGACCUUUGAAGUAAAAUACACUUAGUAGUUUUAAAUUUCAAGUGGCAUGGCUUACAAUAUGUAAGUGGGUUUUCCACACUUGUAACAUGAGAGAAUCUGCAUAGAUCUCAAGGUUGUCAUUCGUGGCUGAGACAAUGUUUCUAAAUCAAGGGACCCGCACUUCGUCAUUAUCUAAAUUGCGCUUGAUUAUUUUCCUAAAGGGACCUGCACUUCGUCAUUACCUAAGGGCAUCAGUUAGAAGAGAAGUUCGAGCUGACGGGAGUGGUGCCAACAGUUUCCACAAUAAUCGUCUGACAAAUAAAUAUAUAUCUUCUCAUUUUUCAGAUUUUGUUGUUCAAUUCAGUUAAAUCUAUUAGCUUACUGGUUGUGGUAUAACUAUUUCUAGAAUUUACAAUGUGGUUUCCGUGCCUAUUGAUUUAACUUGAUGAGAGAAAUGACUUCUUGGGUUCACUGUUCA